AAGAUACUAGUAUAAUGACCAAUACACUGCCUUGUCAAGGCAGAAUUGCAGGUUUGACCCCUGCGUACCUUG
rnacentral:tRNA from 1 species